UUCCAAGUAUAAGAGCACAUUUGAAAAAAAGAAUCAUUUUGAAACAUUAUGUGAUCGUGACUCACGUUUUUUUCCUUUGGAAUCUCUAGCGAAUUUAUUUCAUUUUUAUCUAUUCAAAAUGCUAAUCAAAAAGAUAACUUGGAAAAAGAUAAUCAGAUUCAUGAAAAGGUAUUAUCAAUUCAUAGAACAUUUCUCAACAUUUUGAAAUUACUUACGCUACUCAACAGCGAUCUACACAAAUAACAGUAUCACCUUUUACAUGAAAUCUUUAAAAAAUCGAGUGCAAAAUGCGUGUUAUUUUUGUGCAUUUUUCUAUAUGCGUAUUUGUUCUAUGCACCUGGACUUCACCGCUUGAUGGUUUUAAAUUAAAAAUGCCUUUCAGGAGCAACAUUCCUAAUCCUGCCAAGCCUAUCAAACCGAUCAUUCCUAUGGCUAGCAUGCAGAACAUGAAUGGGCUAACGAACAAAGGGAACAAGGGAGAUACCCGGAAAGAGCCUGUAAGGAAUACUCCAAGACCUCAGAAACAAGUUGCCCAAUCAACAAAAGAAGUUACUAAUAUUUUAAAUUUCAAGCCGAAAGUAGAAAGCUUGCAAAAGGCUGUGGAUGCCAGACUGGAUAAUAUUUUAAAAUUAGCGGAUGGUAAAAAUAUUGCAGCUGCGAUAGUGAAGCAAAAAAUUGAACAGGAGAUCAGGGCUAAAGGUUUUGCGGAUCAGUUUGCUAGCAGAAAUAAAGGAUUACUUUUCAAAAAUUAAAUCGCGAUUUGAUUUUUAGAAUUUUUUGGAAUUUAGUGAGUAUUAUACUUUUUUGGAUGAUGUAAAUAUUGUUAAUGUUAUUUUUUUUUAAAUUGUCAAAAUGAACUGUUAAAAUAUUAAGUUGGAAUUCGCCAUUUUAUUGCUGCGCAGCUUUUAAUACUUAUGCCGAAAGAUUUUUUUUUUUGUUUCAAUUUUUAUAUUUUUUUAGAUUAAGAUUAGCUGUAAGAUUUUUGUUUGAAAUCAGACACAUUGAAUAAACUUUUUCGAGUUUAGUUAA